rnacentral:lncRNA from 1 species
AUGAGUGCUUUCAGCGUGGCGUCGGGCAAUUGGAUAACCCUCUCCUGGAGUGCAUGUCGCCAGCUGCUAAUCGGCGGAGGUGAAGACAAGCGGACGGCAACCUUCUAACACAGAGAAAGGUCAGUCACAACGUAUGAGUAAUUCACGAUUGGACGCAUUUAUACCAAACGGAACUAUGUGCAUUAUGACGUGAGCCCUGCC